rnacentral:rRNA from 1 species
GACAGAGGGUGCAAACGUUGUUCGGAAUUACUGGGCGUAAAGGGCCAGUAGGCGGCCAACUAAGUCGGAUGUGAAAUCCCCAGGCUCAACUUGGGAACUGCAUCCGAUACUGGAUGGCUUGAAUUCGGGAGAGGGAUGCAGAAUUCCAGGUGUAGCGGUGAAAUGCGUAGAUAUUAGGGAAGAACACCGGUGGCGAAGGCGGCUCUCUGGACCGAGACUGACGCUGAGGCGCGAAAGCGUGGGGAGCAAACAGG